rnacentral:lncRNA from 1 species
UGCAAUAAAAUGGGAAGGUGAAUCAGUAUAAACAAUAAAAUAGGUCUAUUAAAGCUCAAAAUUAUAAUCAAGGGAUUCUUAUUAUAUUUGGUUAGUUAUUUAGGCUAAAGUAAACUGCUUUAAAAAAUGGCGUAUGAUCAUUUCCUAAUCGACCAUCCUUAAACCUUCCAACACUAAACGACAAAGUUUUGGAUUCCACACACAGAGUGAACUAGUAAUGCUUCAC